rnacentral:rRNA from 1 species
UACGGAGGGUGCGAGCGUUAAUCGGAAUUACUGGGCGUAAAGCGUACGUAGGCGGCCAUUCAAGUCAGAGGUGAAAGCCCAGGGCUCAACCCUGGAACUGCCUUUGAAACUAGAUGGCUGGAACACGGGAGAGGUGAGUGGAAUUCCGAGUGUAGAGGUGAAAUUCGUAGAUAUUCGGAAGAACACCAGUGGCGAAGGCGGCUCACUGGACCGUUGUUGACGCUGAGGUACGAAAGCGUGGGGAGCAAACAGG